rnacentral:lncRNA from 1 species
GGGGAGUUUGAGAGAUAGUGGGAGUGUGGUGGACUAUUUUUAGGAGAAAAAUAAGGGAUUAAGGGUGGUUAUCGGAUAUUCUGUCAGUCUUUUCUUUUUAUUUUUUUCCCAAAAAAAAAUCUGCAUGUUUUCCCUUCCAUUCUCCCUGCUGAAUUCUCCUCUGUCUUUUUUCUCUCUUUUUGUGUUAGCAUAUCCUUUUUUUCUUCCUUUUAUUGUUUUGACCAAGACGUGUUUCCUUAUUUGAGAUUCUGUUUGAUCGCUGCAUUUUUCCCUAUUUGGUAAGUGGCUUAAGUUAUUAUAGUUUUGGCAUUCGAUUACCGACUGAAGGUUGUGAUUUUAUUUUUUGGACAGCAGACAAUCGAAAAGAACAGAGUCUUCCUUGUGUCACUUCGUAAUUGAAAUAACUAAGGGUGUGGGGUAAUCAUUGGUCGCUUG